UACAGAGGUCUCAAGCGUUGUUCGGAUUCAUUGGGCGUAAAGGGUGUGUAGGUGGCGCGCUAAGUCGGGUGUGAAAUUUCGGAGCUUAACUCCGAAACUGCAUUCGAUACUGGCGUGCUUGAGGACUGGAGAGGAGACUGGAAUUCAUGGUGUAGCAGUGAAAUGCGUAGAGAUCACGAGGAAGACCAGUGGCGAAGGCGGGUCUCUGGACAGUUCCUGACACUGAGACACGAAGGCCAGGGGAGCAAACGGG
rnacentral:rRNA from 1 species